rnacentral:rRNA from 1 species
GACGAACGCUGGCGGCGUGCUUAACACAUGCAAGUCGAACGGAAAGGCCCUGCUUUUGUGGGGUGCUCGAGUGGCGAACGGGUGAGUAACACGUGAGUAACCUGCCCUUGACUUUGGGAUAACUUCAGGAAACUGGGGCUAAUACCGGAUAGGAGCUCCUGCUGCAUGGUGGGGGUUGGAAAGUUUCGGCGGUUGUGGAUGGAUUCGCGGCUUAUCAGCUUGUUGGUGGGGUAGUGGCUUACCAAGGCUUUGACGGGUAGCCGGCCUGAGAGGGUGACCGGCCACAUGGCUACUGAGAGACGGCCCAGACUCCUACGGGAGGCAGAAGGGGAGAAUAUUGCACAAUGGGCGGAAGCCUGAUGCAGAAACGCCGCGUGCGGGAUGACGGCCUUCGGGGUGUAAACCGCUUUCGCAUGUGACGAAGCGUGAGUGACGGUAAUGGGUAAAGAAGCACCGGCUAACUACGUG